rnacentral:rRNA from 1 species
GAUGAACGCUAGCGGCAGGCCUAACACAUGCAAGUCGAGGGGCAGCACGUAAAAGAGUUUACUCUUUUUGGUGGCGACCGGCGGACGGGUGCGUAACGCGUAUGMACCUGCCUGUUACAGGGGGAUAAUCCGAAGAAAUUUGGUCUAAUACCCCAUAAUAUUUGAUCAGGCAUCUGAUUGAGUUGAAAGCUACGGUGGUAACAGAUGGGCAUGCGUUGUAUUAGCUAGUUGGUGGGGUAACGGCUCACCAAGGCGACGAUACAUAGGGGGACUGAGAGGUUAGCCCCCCACACUGGUACUGAGACACGGACCAGACUCCUACGGGAGGCAGCAGUGAGGAAUAUUGGUCAAUGGGCGGAAGCCUGAACCAGCCAUGCCGCGUGCAGGAAGACGGCUCUAUGAGUUGUAAACUGCUUUUGUACUAGGGUAAUAGCGGGUACGUGUACUCGUAUGAAAGUAUAGUACGAAUAAGGAUCGGCUAACUCCGUGCCAGCAGCCGCGGUAAUACGGAGGAUCCAAGCGUUAUCCGGAUUUAUUGGGUUUUAAGGGUGCGUAGGCGGCAGAUUAAGUUAGAGGUGAAAUCCCGUAGCUUAACUACGGAACUGCCUCUGAUACUGAUUUGCUAGCGAGUGGAUGCUGUAGGCGGAAUGUGUGGUGUAGCGGUGAAAUGCGUAGAUAUCACACAGAACACCGAUUGCGAAGGCAGCUUACAAAUCCAUAUCGGACGCUGAGGCACGAAAGCGUGGGGAGCAAACAGGAUUAGAUACCCUGGUAGUCCACGCAGUAAACGAUGAUAACUCGUUGUCGGCGAUACAAUGUCGGUGACCAAGCGAAAGCGAUAAGUUAUCCACCUGGGGAGUACGUUCGCAAGAAUGAAACUCAAAGGAAUUGACGGGGGCCCGCACAAGCGGAGGAACAUGUGGUUUAAUUCGAUGAUACGCGAGGAACCUUACCCGGGCUUGAAAGUUAGUGACGGAUCUUGAAAGAGGUCUUCCCUUCGGGGCACGAAACUAGGUGCUGCAUGGUUGUCGUCAGCUCGUGCCGUGAGGUGUCGGGUUAAGUCCCAUAACGAGCGCAACCCCUAUCGAUAGUUACCAGCGAGCAAAGUCGGGGACUCUAUCGAGACUGCCGGUGUAAGCCGAGAGGAGGGUGGGGAUGACGUCAAAUCAGCACGGCCCUUACGUCCGGGGCUACACACGUGUUACAAUGGGGGGUACAGAGGGCCGCCAUCCGGCGACGGAGCGCCAAUCCCAAAAGCCUCCCCCAGUUCGGACUGGAGUCUGCAACCCGACUCCACGAAGCUGGAUUCGCUAGUAAUCGCGCAUCAGCCACGGCGCGGUGAAUACGUUCCCGGGCCUUGUACACACCGCCCGUCAAGCCAUGAAAGCCGGGGGUACCUGAAGUGCGUAACCGUAAGGGGCGCCCUAGGGUAAAACCGGUGAUUGGGGCUA